UACAGAGGGGGCAAGCGUUAUUCGGAAUUAUUGGGCGUAAAGGGCGCGUAGGCGGUCGUGACAAGUCACUUGUGAAAUCUCCGGGCUUAACUCGGAACGGUCAAGUGAUACUGUCGGACUAGAGUACAGAAGGGGGCAACUGGAAUUCUCGGUGUAGCGGUGAAAUGCGUAGAUAUCGAGAGGAACACCUGCGGCGAAGGCGGGUUGCUGGGCUGACACUGACGCUGAACUGCGAAAGCUAGGGGAGCGAACGGG
rnacentral:rRNA from 1 species